AUGAAGACCAGAGCUAACAGGGCCUGUAGGGAUUCCCAGAAACAAGUAGGAAAAGGGGCACUAGGAACUGCAAGACUGGAGCGUGAAAAGCCCAGAAUUCACAGUCCAGGUGCCUGGAACUUUCUCAGUUCUCUGCACUGGGUCCUGUGCGGUGCAAUACUGAGGAUUCCUGAUUUUCUCAGCAGCUCUGGUCGCACCCUAGGCCGCCUGGGCUCAGAAAAGACCAUGGCAAAGAGAGGAACCACCAAGUGCAAUCUUUCUCUGAGUCUGGGCCUUUUGCUGCUGCUGAAUUUUCUGGGGACCGCGAUGCUAGAAGAUGUACACUCCUUUAGUUGCAACUUGAUCAUCAGGGCUCCUACCAAAGCAGAACCUCUCUGGUAUGAAGGACAGUGCUCAGUGGAUGGAAUUGAUUUCCUUUCUUCUAAUAACGUGAACAAGACCAUGCCUUUGGGCAACCAGGAGAAGAUGGCAAAUGCCACCGAAGUGUGGACAUGUGAGAUCCAGUGGCUAGACCUAUUGGGCCAGGACUUAAGGGACAAGGUGUCUGAAAUCAAAGUGCACACAACCAAGACCAGUGGUCACCCCACUUUACGGGUCACCAUGCUUUCUAAGCACAGACACGGACAAAUCAUUAGUGCUUCCUGGGAAUUCAACAUCAGUGAGAAUUAUUCCUUCAUCUUGGACCUAAAGAAUAUGAAAUGGAUACCAGAGGACAUCAUGAAAGAAUGGAAAGAUGAUGCGACAUUAAUGAAACAUCUGAAUUUGUUCAUAGUAGAAUGCAGUCCGAAAUUCAAUGAAUUCUUAAAUCAGCAUGAGGAAAGAACAAGUAGGUAUUACCUGGAUUGUCAGAAGGAUCUUCUAAUUUCAUAGACUGAGUGAGUGAGUGACUUCUGGGGAGUGUUCCUGGCUGGGGAGACAGUGAUGACCACAGGGAUUCCUCAGUCCAUCUCACACCCCAGUGUUCCUCACUCCCUGUUAACCAGUGGUCCAGGCUCUGCAUGGCCUGCUGAUGAGCCCUAACUCUGUGUGCAUCACUGUACACUUCCAGCCCUCUCAUCCUCAGGUAGCUGCCCUUCCACCAGCUCCACCAUCACUUUUUAAAGGAUUUACCAUCUGACUCUGGCACAGUUAUACACCAGCAAUUUCCCAACAUCCAGUGAUACCCACAGUUCAUUUGUCAAACUUUUGGGAUGGUUUGAUAGACAUUAACUUUCCUUUGUAAUGAAAUAAAGUCUGCUGAGACUUCAUUUAUACAACUCCCACUCCUCUGUCUACUCAGGACUUUGUAAAUAGGUCUGGCAUGUGAGUCCCUCUGGCUGCCUUGGGAGAGAAGGUGCUAAUGGAGGGGUGUAUUUAACUUUAUGGAGAACUUUCCUAUGUUUUUUUAAGGAUCAACAACAAGGGCCCCAGAUAUCACCCAGCCUCCACCUACCAGGCAGUUUCCUUAUAAGGAAGUAUUGAUCCCUGUGGUUCUCAUCAUCUUUAUUAUUUUCAUUUGCAUAUGUGUGAAGAGGAUGUGUUGUCCCCAAGGAGGUGAGGAGCAGGCUGGGGUCUCAUCCUGUCCUUGGUAGUGUUGUUUGUCAGGGGACUUGCAAUAGUU
rnacentral:lncRNA from 14 species